CAAAGUGUAGCUUAAACAAAGCAUCUAGCUUACACCUA
rnacentral:tRNA from 1 species